rnacentral:rRNA from 1 species
UGGCGGCGUGCCUAACACAUGCAAGUCGAACGAGAAAGUGGAGCAAUCCAUGAGUAAAGUGGCGACCGGGUGAGUAACACGUGACUAACCUACCUCCGAGUGGGGAAUAACUCCGGGAAACCGGGGCUAAUACCGCAUAACAUCGCAAGAUCAAAGCAGCAAUGCGCUUGGAGAGGGGGUCGCGGCUGAUUAGCUAGUUGGUGGGGUAACGGCCCACCAAGGCGAAGAUCGGUAUCCGGCCUGAGAGGGCGCACGGACACACUGGAACUGAAACACGGUCCAGACUCCUACGGGAGGCAGCAGUGGGGAAUUUUGCGCAAUGGGGGAAACCCUGACGCAGCAACGCCGCGUGGAGGACGAAGCCCUUUGGGGCGUAAACUCCUUUCGACUCGGACGAUUAUGACGGUACGAGUGGAAGAAGCACCGGCUAACUCUGUGCCAGCAGCCGCGGUAAUACAGAGGGUGCGAGCGUUGUUCGGAAUUAUUGGGCGUAAAGGGCGCGUAGGCGGUGCGGUAAGUCACCUGUGAAAUCUCCCGGCUUAACUGGGAGCCUGCAGGCGAAACUACCGUGCUGGAGUGUGGGAGAGGUGCGUGGAAUUCCCGGUGUAGCGGUG